rnacentral:snRNA from 1 species
UAGGUCCGCGCAUGCACAUGUCA